GUGAAUCAUCGAAUCUUUGAACGCACAUUGCGCCCGCCAGCAUUCUGGCGGGCAUGCCUGUUCGAGCGUCAUUGCAACCCUCAGGCCCUGCCUGGCGUUGGAGGACUGCACUGCAGCCUCCUAAAGCAAGCGGCGGCGGCGCCCCACAACCGAACGCAGUAAUACAUCUCGUUCUGGGUCUGGGACGUUGUCUUGCCGGAAAACCCCAACUUUUACGUGGUUGACCUCGAAUCAGGUAGGAAUACCCGCUGAACUUAAGCAUAUCAAUAAGCGGAGGA
rnacentral:misc_RNA from 1 species